GACGAACGCUGGCGGCGUGCUUAACACAUGCAAGUCGAACGGAAAGGCCCUGCUUUUGUGGGUUGCUCGAUUGCCGAACGGGGGAGAAACACGUGAGUAACCUGCCCUUGACUUUGGGAUAACUCCAGGAAACUGGGGCUAUUACCGGAUAGGAGCUCUUGCUGCAUGGUGGGGGUUGGAAAGUUUCGGCGGUUGGGGAUGGACUCGCGGCUUAUCAGCUUGUUGGUGGGGUAGUGGCUUACCAAGGCUUUGACGGGUAGCCGGCCUGAGAGGGUGACCGGCCACAUUGGGACUGAGAUACGGACCAGACUCCUACGGGAGGCAGCAGUGGGGAAUAUUGCACAAUGGGCGGAAGCCUGAUGCAGCAACGCCGCGUGCGGGAUGACGGCCUUCGGGUUGUAAACCGCUUUCGCCUGUGACGAAGCGUGAGUGACGGUAAUGGGUAAAGAAGCACCGGCUAACUACGUG
rnacentral:rRNA from 1 species